AAUAACUAAUCCAGCAACAUGUUGAAAUUAGCUAUUGUCUGUGCCGCUAUAGCCUUCGUGGCUACUCAAUCAACAGAUGGUCCAACUCCUCAUCCUCAUCCCGAUCCUCAUUCUCACCCAACUCCGCAUCCUCAUCCCGAUCCUCAUUCUCACCCAACUCCUCAUCCUGAUCCUCAUUCUCACCCAACUCCUCAUCCUCAUCCUGAUCCUCAUUCUCACCCAACUCCCCACCCUCAUGAAACUCAUCCACCUCAUGUUGAUGAAACUUUCCACUUCUUUAACGAUAAAGACAAUAACAAAAUGGCGAUCAAGACAAAGACAGCUUGCUACAUCUUUACUUUGACUGCUGAUCAACAACAAGCUCUCCUAACUCCAGAUGGUAUUCAAGCCACCGAGCUUGCCUUGGUUGGUAAGAUCUCUACUGGAACACAAACUCCACUGACACCUCAAGAUAUGCAUACAGAUAUUGCUCAUCAUUGUGGACACGAUAAUGUCUUUGCUGUUAGUCAAUAAAAUAUUAUUAAUUUUAUUGGAAAUGAUUUAAGCAUUUAUUAUGCAAUAAAAGGUGCUUUAUGUAAGAGCUAA